AUCCUGGUCCGCAUCCCGCCGGACGAUCCCGCGACACUCGUGCGUGCCUCCCUUGUCUGCAACUCCGCCGCCGCCGUAUCUCACGACCCACCUGGUCGGCGAGAUCCUGGUCCGCAUCCCGCCGGACGAUCCCGCGACACUCGUGCGUGCCUCCCUUGUCUGCAAGCCCUGGCGCCGCCUGCUCUGCGACCGCGCCUUCCGCCGCCGCUACGGCGCCUUCCACCGAGCGCCGCCCCUUCUCGGCUACAUCCACAACCACAGCAUCAGCGGGCCUCGCUUCGUCUCCACCGCCACACCCUCUUCGGUGCCGCUGAAGGCGUUCGGCGGCUGCAGCAACAACGGCUGGCGCGUCAUCGACUGCCGCCAUGGCCGCGUCCUCUUUGAGGCCGUGGACCCCUACCGCAACUGGAGCCUGGAGGAACAUCCUCUGUUGGGUCCUGGACGUGAGCCCGAGCCUUGCCGUAUGGGAUAGCGGAACCUGCGAGAAGAAGCUGCUGCCGGAGGCCCCGUUCCCAGGAUGACAAUUCUUCAAUGCGGCGGUGCUCUGUGCUGCGCGCGGCUGUGACCACCUCGACUGCCGCGGUGGUCCAUUCCUCGUCGCCCUCGUGGGGUACAACGAUGUGGCGGGGGCCCUGCAGUCACACCUGUACUCAUCAGAGUCUGGCUACUGGUGGAGUUCGUCUUCUGCCCCUCCGGGCCCUCGUUUCUCUCCCGCCCGCACGCCGAGCGUGGUCAUCGGCGAUGGCAUGUAUUUAAUACUAUCAGCCACGCCGCCCGAAUUUGCAGUUCUGAACUUGGACGUGGCAGAAAACCACAUGUCCAUCAUCAAACCACCGAAUGCGCGUGACUUGGACGGGAAUGCUGUCCUCGUGGCGACGGGAGAUGGCUCGCUGGGUUUCGCCGCCAUUCUUGGUUCAAGGCUUCACCUGUGGACGAGGAAUUCAGAGGUUGUUGUCGGAGGAGGAUCAGUGUUUCAAAUAGCCCGCUAAUAGCGGCUAUUUAGCCGGCUAUAGCGUUUGAGGAGCUCUGAAGCUAGGAGAUGCCCAGUUUAACGCUAACCAAAGUUAGCCGCUAAUUACCUCAUUUAGCCCGCUAAACACAUAGACUUAGCUGAAUUUAGCGCAGCUAUUGGGCCAAAUGUUUGAGUGUGGAGGCCCAAAACUGCAACAGCCCGUGGGGUGUGGGGUGGGCACGCUCACUGUUGACCAGUUAUCUAACCCUAGCUUAUAUGAGCACAACCUUCGCACACGCCGCCGCCGUUGCGAGCAGCCAGUCCCUUUCCACACGCCACCACCGUUGUGAGUAGCUAGUCGCCGUUGUUGCUUCGCCCAGCCCCUUGCUUCACACCUCACGCGUCGCCCUGCAUCCUCCUGGCGUCCAGCCGUCCACCACCACCGCGGGCAGCAUCCAUAAUUCCAGAUCGGCUUCAGGUUUCAGCACGACCAUGCAUCAACAGCAGGUUGCCGUUGGAGCGCCAUCAAGACAUCAGCGAAGCCGUCGUCUCUAAGUAGCAAGCAAGCCCCUGCAUCUGACAGACGCACAAAAAUUUCCUCGCCAUGUCGGAAUCCCAGCAGCAGCAGCAAGGCAGAGGGAUUUGACAUCGUCUUUGUGACCUCGUUUGAUGAGGGUGUCUUCUCACUAGACCUCAAGUCUCUCCAACGGAGGGUGGUAGAUGAAGAUAAGGAAGGCGCCGCCGUCUUUCCCUGCGUGGCCUUCUACAAUCCAGGUAUUUUUUAGGGAACUUGUAUGCAUGACAGUUUCAGAUGGCGGUUGGGACUGGGGUCACCCCAGUCACUAGUGAGCGAGGCGAAGUAGCACCUGGGCACAAUAAGGCAUCUCUUUUAGCAUGGAUGAUGCUUAUUAGCAUUCAGUUGGGUAGUAGGCAUCUUAUUAGCUGGUUGAUUAUGACUGCAAAGGCUGUGUUCCCAGUUUUAUAAUAGUUGAUCUUUUGCGUUUAGUUAUUGUUAUAUUGAAGAUUUGCUACAACUCGACAUAGCACUGACUGAAAUGUGGAUCUAUGAUUUGGAAUAAAAUAUUCAGUUUUGGAA